GGUCUAGGUGGAUUCUUAAGUCAAAUGUGAAAUCUCUCGGCUUAACUGAGAAACUGCAUCUGAAACUGGGAAUCUUGAGCACGGUAGAGGAGAGUGGAACUCUCAGUGUAGCGGUGGAAUGCGUAGAUAUUGAGAGGAACACCAUUGGCGAAGGCAGCUCUCUGGACCGUUGCUGACACUAAAGCUCGAAAGCUGGGGUAGCGAACA
rnacentral:rRNA from 1 species